rnacentral:rRNA from 1 species
GAUGAACGCUGGCGGCGUGCCUAAUACAUGCAAGUCGAGCGAACGGACGAGAAGCUUGCUUUUCUGAUGUUAGCGGCGGACGGGUGAGUAACACGUGGAUAACCUACCUAUAAGACUGGGAUAACUUCGGGAAACCGGAGCUAAUACCGGAUAAUAUUUUGAACCGCAUGGUUCAAAAGUGAAAGACGGUCUUGCUGUCACUUAUAGAUGGAUCCGCGCUGCAUUAGCUAGUUGGUAAGGUAACGGCUUACCAAGGCAACGAUGCAUAGCCGACCUGAGAGGGUGAUCGGCCACCCUGGAACUGAGACACGGUCCAGACUCCUACGGGAGGCAGCAGUAGGGAAUCUUCCGCAAUGGGCGAAAGCCUGACGGAGCAACGCCGCGUGAGUGAUGAAGGUCUUCGGAUCGUAAAACUCUGUUAUUAGGGAAGAACAUAUGUGUAAGUAACUGUGCACAUCUUGACGGUACCUAAUCAGAAAGCCACGGCUAACUACAUG